rnacentral:lncRNA from 1 species
AGCUUGAAAAGAGCGGAAGAAUGGCAAGUUUUAUCUUCGGUGACCAGCCGGUGGGUGCUAACGCAGAAAGCCAGUGAACGAAGUUUGCAGAGAGCUAGAUUCUUCUACUGCCAGCCAGGCCUCCUCUGCCUGACCCGAGGCUGAGCUCACAAUGACAGCAUCAGGUGUGAUGGAUGCGGGUGGAGAAGACUCAGAUGAGAAGAUGAGCGCUUUCCAAAUCUCACCAUAAAUCUCCAAACUGCUGAAGCGCUGCCCACUCGUUGCCUCGGUUACAGCCCACACACUCCGUCUCCUCGCAGUCAUAGACACUCCUCAAUAAAACGAAGUUCAUUACUACUAAAGGUUUUUUUUUUUUUUUUUGCUUCUCCCUGGAAGGAACAAAUUAUUCUUGCGUUGAACUUGCUGCCUACUCACGCCCAGUCUCUUUUUGUGCCUUCCCUGUCUCCAACCCCGCUCCCUUCGCGUUCACUCUCUGUGCUGCUGAACCUCACUGAUUUUAACCUGUGGAGCAGCAAACCGAGGCCAGGCAGCAAUAUGAUAGACCUUCCCUGGGCAGGCCGGAGCAGGGCAUCUGGCUUCCCCCCGAGAUGCCUGCUUCACUCCUUGCACAGCCUUUACAAGCUCCCAGAUUUAGUGCUACCAUAGCUGAGAAAGUGAGUGAAAGUGACAGUCGCUCAGUCAUAUCCAACUCUUUGCAACCCCAUGGACUCAACAGUCCAUGGAAUUCUCCAGGCCAGAACACUGGAGUGGGUCGCCUGUCCCUUCUCCAGGGGAUCUUCCCAGCCCAGGGAUUGAACCGGGAUCUCCUGCAUUGCAGGCAGAUUCUUUGCCAACUGAGCUAUCGGGGAACAACAUCUAACACACCUACCUGA